rnacentral:rRNA from 1 species
UGGGGAAUAUUGGACAAUGGGCGCAAGCCUGAACCAGCCAUGCCGCGUGCAGGAUGAAGCAUCUAUGGUGUGUAAACUGCUUUUGUACGGGAAGAAACCACCCCUCGUGAGGGGUAUUGACGGUACCGUAAGAAUAAGGAUCGGCUAACUCCGUGCCAGCAGCCGCGGUAAUACGGAGGAUCCAAGCGUUAUCCGGAAUCAUUGGGUUUAAAGGGUCCGUAGGCGGGGCUGUAAGUCAGUGGUGAAAGCUCCCCGCUCAACGGGGAAACUGCCAUUGAUACUGAAGGUCUUGAAUUAUUGGGAAGUAACUAGAAUAUGUAGUGUAGCGGUGAAAUGCCUAGAGAUUACAUGGAAUACCGAUGGCGAAGGCAGGUUACUACCAAUGGAUUGACGCUGAUGGACGAAAGCGUGGGUAGCGAACA